rnacentral:rRNA from 1 species
UACGUAGGGUCCGAGCGUUGUCCGGAAUUAUUGGGCGUAAAGGGCUCGUAGGCGGUUUGUCGCGUCGGGAGUGAAAACUCAGGGCUCAACCCUGAGCGUGCUUCCGAUACGGGCAAACUAGAGGUAUGCAGGGGAGAAUGGAAUUCCUGGUGUAGCGGUGGAAUGCGCAGAUAUCAGGAGGAACACCGGUGGCGAAGGCGGUUCUCUGGGCAUUACCUGACGCUGAGGAGCGAAAGCAUGGGGAGCGAACAGG